CUCGUAGGUGGUUUGUCGCGUCGUCUGUGAAAUUCCGGGGCUUAACUCCGGGCGUGCAGGCGAUACGGGCAUAACUUGAGUACUGUAGGGGUAACUGGAAUUCCUGGUGUAGCGGUGAAAUGCGCAGAUAUCAGGAGGAACACCGAUGGUGAAGGCAGGUUACUGGGCAGUUACUGACGCUGAGGAGCGAAAGCAUGGGUAGCGAAUA
rnacentral:rRNA from 1 species